rnacentral:tRNA from 1 species
AUCAAGAUGGCAGAAUAAUGCAACAAGUUUAAACCCUGUCAAUGAGUCAUACUCUCUUGUUA